AAUUAAGUCUUAAGAUAUUUCUAUGACCAUAAGAUUAAUAUAAUGUGGAUUAAUCUUUUCAUAUGUCUUAAGACUAAGGAAAUUAACAAUUUGUUUCUCUAAUUAUUCUUUUAGCUUCCUAGUCUUCCCUCUAGUCAAUGGUCCCGCUCCUAGUUCUCGAAGCUCAUUAACCUUCAUGUAGGAUUGGUCCACAUCAGGGUUGCUGAAGGCUAGAGUCUACGUUGGAUGGCUAAUGAUCCUCAGGAAAUGUUGAAGUGUCCAACGAAUAUGAUACAUAUAAGGUCAACUUAGACACUAAGACAUGUGCAUGUAGCAAGUAGAACUUAAUAGGAAAAACACUUUUUUGUCUACAUAUGGAUACACAAUGAAACCAACAAAUGGUCCUACUAUGUGGCCUAUAUCAAAGAGUGAACCCAUAAAUUCCUCUAUAAUGAAGAGAGCACCAGGCAAACCCAAGAAAUAGAGAAAUAAGAGUAAUGAUGAACCCAAAAGGUCAAGCAUACUACAAAGAACACUUCCAACUAUGAAAUGCAAAAAAUGAGACAAGUUUGGGAAAAACAAAAGGACAUGCAAAGAGGACAAAAAGAAAAAGAACAGAAAAAAGUCAAGGUGCACAAGUAGGUUUACAAGCACCUCAAAGAUCACAAGCAUCACAAGUUGUAUUAACUCAAGGAUCACAAGCACCUCAAGGAUUACCAGCACCAAGUCCAAAUACUUAGGAUCGAAUGGCUUCAUAUAUGGCUUUAAUGAUGUAAUUUUUUGUUUAAGCAUAAUAUGUAAUGUGUAUUGGCAUUGACUUCUAAUGUGUAAUUGCACUAUUAUUUUAUUUGGUUCUCUAAUUUAAAAAUGGCCAUAUUAUUUGUAUGACAA